rnacentral:rRNA from 1 species
GAAGAAGGUGCAGGGUUGCGUGUUGUCAUCUAUAAGCUAAUUGUUAGAGUUCUUCGAUUUGUCGCAAAGCUUGAUGAUGGCAGUGAGCUUCAAGUUGCGGAACAUGACGUGGAGUUUGAGGUUAACAUGAAACAUUUUACGGUUGAAAAAUUGAUAGAACUCAUUAGGUCAAAAAUUAUAUGGGGGCUUGGUCAAGAGGUCCAUAUUUUGUGUCAAGGUAAGCACUUUGAAUCAGUUGAGAGGUUGAGCUAUUGGAAGUUGUUGACAGCUUUUCUUGAGAGAUGGGAAGAGAAAGAAUUGCUU